ensembl:snRNA U5 U5 spliceosomal RNA
CAGCUCAGUUUUCUCUUCAUUGUCGAUAAAUCUUUCGCCUUUACUAAAGAUUUCCGUGGAGGGGAGCUAUGCAGUGACCUGUACUUUUGGGGGCUCUGCUCACAGCAGAGCU